rnacentral:rRNA from 1 species
GGGACACGUGGUAUCCUGUCUGAAUAUGGGGGGACCAUCCUCCAAGGCUAAAUACUCCUGACUGACCGAUAGUGAACCAGUACCGUGAGGGAAAGGCGAAAAGAACCCCGGCGAGGGGAGUGAAAAAGAACCUGAAACCGUGUACGUACAAGCAGUGGGAGCACGCUUAGGCGUGUGACUGCGUACCUUUUGUAUAAUGGGUCAGCGACUUAUAUUCUGUAGCAAGGUUAACCGAAUAGGGGAGCCGAAGGGAAACCGAGUCUUAACUGGGCGUUAAGUUGCAGGGUAUAGACCCGAAACCCGGUGAUCUAGCCAUGGGCAGGUUGAAGGUUGGGUAACACUAACUGGAGGACCGAACCGACUAAUGUUGAAAAAUUAGCGGAUGACUUGUGGCUGGGGGUGAAAGGCCAAUCAAACCGGGAGAUAGCUGGUUCUCCCCGAAAGCUAUUUAGGUAGCGCCUCGUGAAUUCAUCUCCGGGGGUAGAGCACUGUUUCGGCAAGGGGGUCAUCCCGACUUACCAACCCGAUGCAAACUGCGAAUACCGGAGAAUGUUAUCACGGGAGACACACGGCGGGUGCUAACGUCCGUCGUGAAGAGGGAAACAACCCAGACCGCCAGCUAAGGUCCCAAAGUCAUGGUUAAGUGGGAAACGAUGUGGGAAGGCCCAGACAGCCAGGAUGUUGGCUUAGAAGCAGCCAUCAUUUAAAGAAAGCGUAAUAGCUCACUGGUCGAGUCGGCCUGCGCGGAAGAUGUAACGGGGCUAAACCAUGCACCGAAGCUGCGGCAGCGACGCUUAUGCGUUGUUGGGUAGGGGAGCGUUCUGUAAGCCUGUGAAGGUGUACUGUGAGGUAUGCUGGAGGUAUCAGAAGUGCGAAUGCUGACAUAAGUAACGAUAAAGCGGGUGAAAAGCCCGCUCGCCGGAAGACCAAGGGUUCCUGUCCAACGUUAAUCGGGGCAGGGUGAGUCGACCCCUAAGGCGAGGCCGAAAGGCGUAGUCGAUGGGAAACAGGUUAAUAUUCCUGUACUUGGUGUUACUGCGAAGGGGGGACGGAGAAGGCUAUGUUGGCCGGGCGACGGUUGUCCCGGUUUAAGCGUGUAGGCUGGUUUUCCAGGCAAAUCCGGAAAAUCAAGGCUGAGGCGUGAUGACGAGGCACUACGGUGCUGAAGCAACAAAUGCCCUGCUUCCAGGAAAAGCCUCUAAGCAUCAGGUAACAUCAAAUCGUACCCCAAACCGACACAGGUGGUCAGGUAGAGAAUACCAAGGCGCUUGAGAGAACUCGGGUGAAGGAACUAGGCAAAAUGGUGCCGUAACUUCGGGAGAAGGCACGCUGAUAUGUAGGUGAAGUCCCUCGCGGAUGGAGCUGAAAUCAGUCGAAGAUACCAGCUGGCUGCAACUGUUUAUUAAAAACACAGCACUGUGCAAACACGAAAGUGGACGUAUACGGUGUGACGCCUGCCCGGUGCCGGAAGGUUAAUUGAUGGGGUCAGCGCAAGCGAAGCUCUUGAUCGAAGCCCCGGUAAACGGCGGCCGUAACUAUAACGGUCCUAAGGUAGCGAAAUUCCUUGUCGGGUAAGUUCCGACCUGCACGAAUGGCGUAAUGAUGGCCAGGCUGUCUCCACCCGAGACUCAGUGAAAUUGAACUCGCUGUGAAGAUGCAGUGUACCCGCGGCAAGACGGAAAGACCCCGUGAACCUUUACUAUAGCUUGACACUGAACAUUGAGCCUUGAUGUGUAGGAUAGGUGGGAGGCUUUGAAGUGUGGACGCCAGUCUGCAUGGAGCCGACCUUGAAAUACCACCCUUUAAUGUUUGAUGUUCUAACGUUGACCCGU